CAAUAGCGUAUAUUAAAGUUGUUGCAGUUAAAAAGCUCGUAGUUGAACCUUGGGCCUGGCUGGCCGGUCUGCCUCACCGCAUGCACUGGUCCGGCCGGGCCUUUCCCUCUGGGGAUCCGCAUGCCCUUCACUGGGUGUGUCGGGGAACCAGGACUUUUACUGUGAAAAAAUUAGAGUGUUCAAAGCAGGCCUAUGCUCGAAUACAUUAGCAUGGAAUAAUAGAAUAGGACGUUGCGGUUCUAUUUUGUUGGUUUCUAGGACCGCCGUAAUGAUUAAUAGGGACAGUCGGGGGCGUCAGUAUUCAAUCGUCAGAGGUGAAAUUCUUGGAUCGAUUGAAGACUAACUACUGCGAAAGCAUUCGCCAAGGAUGUUUNCAUUAG
rnacentral:rRNA from 1 species